AUCUACGGCCAUACCACCCUGAUCUCAGAGGCUAAGCAGGAUUGGGUCAGGUCAGUACGCAGAUAGGAGACCUGCAGGGAAUCCUGCGGGCAGUAGGUU
ensembl:rRNA 5S_rRNA 5S ribosomal RNA